CUUUACUUUCUGCCCGGACCUAGGUCCUGGACGCCGCCAUCUUUGUGUGGGUAGAUAAAGUAACUGUGGGACACGUCAUCUGCCCACACUAGAUAGCGCUAUGAAAUUCCCACGCAUGCACAGUUAAACACUUGGGCAUUCGCUACGGGAAUUUAGUCCAUUCAUUCGUCAGAAAGACGAAGGAAUGAAUAGAAAUUUCAGACGACAAACAUCGAAUAUCGGUG